rnacentral:rRNA from 1 species
GGAUGACCUCGGAUCAGGUAGGGAUACCCGCUGAACUUAAGCAUAUCAAUAA